rnacentral:rRNA from 1 species
GGACUACAGGGGUAUCUAAUCCUGUUUGCUCCCCACGCUCUCGCGCCUCAGCGUCAGUAUUUGUCCAGGUAGCCGCCUUCGCCACUGGUGUUCCUUCCGAUCUCUACGCAUUUCACCGCUACACCGGAAAUUCCACUACCCUCUACAAUACUCUAGCGUUACAGUCAUCGAUGCAGUUCCUAGGUUAAGCCCAGGGAUUUCACAUCAAUCUUAUAACACCGCCUACGCGCCCUUUACGCCCAGUAACUCCGAUUAACGCUUGCACCCUCUGUAUUACCGCGGCUGCUGGCAC